rnacentral:rRNA from 2 species
AACAAGGAUUCCCCUAGUAACGGCGAGUGAAGCGGGAAGAGCUCAAAUUUAAAAUCUGGCUUGCUUGCAAGUCCGAGUUGUAGUCUGAAGAAGCGUUUUCCAUGAAAGCUGAGGCACAAGUCCUUUGGAACAGGGCAUCAUAGAGGGUGAGAAUCCCGUCCAUGGUCUCAUGCAUUUCAUUUUGUGAUACGUUUUCUAAGAGUCAGGUUGUUUGGGAAUGCAGCCUAAAAUGGGUGGUAAAUUUCAUCUAAAGCUAAAUAUUGGCGAGAGACCGAUAGCGAACAAGUACCGUGAGGGAAAGAUGAAAAGAACUUUGAAAAGAGAGUUAAAAAGUACGUGAAAUUGUUAAAAGGGAAAC